rnacentral:rRNA from 1 species
GACGAACGCUGGCGGCGUGCUUAACACAUGCAAGUCGAACGGAAAGGCCCUGCUUUUGUGGGGUGCUCGAGUGGCGAACGGGUGAGUAACUCGUGAGUAACCUGCCCUCGACUUUGGGAUAACUUCAGGAAACUGGGGCUACUACCGGAUAGGAGCUCCUGCUGCAUGGUGGGGGUUGGAAAGGUGCGGCGGUUGGGGUUGGACACCCGGCUUAUGAGCUUGUUGGUGGGGGAGUGGCUUACCAAGGCUUUGACGGAUAGCCGGCCUGGGUGGGUGACCGGCCACAUUGGGACUGAGAUACGGCGCAGACUGCUACGGGAGACAGCAGUGGGGACUAUGGCACAAUGGGCGGGAGCCUAAUGCAGCGACGCCGCGUGCGGGAUGACGGCCUUCGGGUUGUAAACAGCUUGCGCCUAUGACGAAGCGUGAGUGACGGUAAUGGGUAAAGAAGCACCGGCUAACUACGUG